GAAGUAAAAGUCGUAACAAGGUUUCCGUAGGUGAACCUGCGGAAGGAUCAUUAACCUUUCAAAACAGGGUGCGUCGCGGCCCCCGAGGUGCGGAAACAAGCCUCGAGCGGUUUGGGGUCCUCCCCUUCACGCGCGCACGACUGCCAUCCUUACUUUACGAGCACCUUCUGUUCUCCCUCGGCGGGGCAACCUGCCGUUGGAACCGAAUAAACUCUUUUUGCAUCUAGCAUUACCUGUUCCGAAACAAACAAUCGUUACAACUUUCAACAAUGGAUCUCUUGGCUCUGGCAUCGAUGAAGAACGCAGCGAAAUGCGAUAAGUAGUGUGAAUUGCAGAAUUCAGUGAAUCAUCGAAUCUUUGAACGCACAUUGCGCCCCUCGGUAUUCCGUGGGGCAUGCCUGUUCGAGCGUCAUCUACACCCUCAAGCUCUGCUUGGUGUUGGGCGUCUGUCCCGCCUCCGCGCGUGGACUCGCCCCAAAUUCAUUGGCAGCGGUCCUUGCCUCCUCUCGCGCAGCACAUUGCGCUUCUUGAGGGGCUCCGGUUCGCGUCCAACAAGCACAUUUACCGUCUUUGACCUCGGAUCAGGUAGGGAUACCCGCUGAACUUAAGCAUAUCAAUAAGCGGAGGAA
rnacentral:misc_RNA from 1 species